UUUUUUUUUUUUUUUUUUUUUUGCCAUUUCUUGAGCCGCUCCCAUGGCACAUGGAGGUUCCCAGGCUAGGGGUUGAAUCGGAGCUGUAGACGCCAGCCUACGCCAGAGCCACAGCAACGCCGGAUCGUUAACCCACUGAGCAAGGCCAGGGGUCGAACCCGCAACCUCAUGGUGCCUAGUCGGAUUCGUUAACCACUGUGCCACAACGGGAACUCCAUCCUCACCUGAUUUUGAUUUCCUAUUUAUUACAUGUGGCAGGGGUGGCGAGUAGGGAAGGCAGUUGGGUGACAACGUGAUCCCUUAUUCUCAGCUUUCAUUGGUACAGAAAAUCCUUGCUACCCCAACAAUUCUCUCAGUACUCCCCAAACAUACACACAGUACAGCAUAUGUAUUUAAUAUCAGAAAGUUCUUUAUGAUGAUGGUUGUAUUUUUUUUUUUUUUAAGGGCCCCACCCAUGACAUAUGGAAGUUCCCAGGCUAGGGGUCAAAUUGGAGCUGCAGCUGCUGGCCUACAUCACAGCUCACGACAACUUGGGAUCCUUAACCCACUGAGUGAGGCCAGGGAUCGAACCCGAGUCCUCAUGGAUGCUAGUCUCAGUGGAACUGAGCCACGAUGGGAACUUUAAUGAUGGUUGUAGAAGACAAAACCAAAACCACCCUAGAGAUCAACCCACUUCUAAUAGCCCUUUUACUCCAUUUACAAAUAUGUGGAUUAUAAAGAUAAUACCUACCGAGAAAUACUCAAAUGGCACAGAAAUGUGUAAGAGAGAAGACAAAAGGCCCCUCGGUACUGGGGUAAGGCACUGGGGAUGGGGAAGGGUCAGACUGUGAGCUAUACACAUUCUUUAGAAGGUAAUUAAAGCCACUCGCUUUACCUUUUGAAGCUGCUGAUGGGACAUACAUUUGGCCCUGCUUUGGCCUCUAGCACCCUUUAAUCUCCCUUUUCAGAACCCAACCCAGAUUCUGCAAGCAACCCCUCUAAGUUGACUGUGUCCAAGCACUUUCUAUUUGAUUCUAGAGAUUUUUAAUAUCCCUUGCAAUAGUACUGCAGCAGUCUUAUUUUCUAAUUCUUCAUUAUUACUAUUAUUAUUUUGCAAACACUCAUGAGUUGGGCCCAAGAGGUUCUCAUGGGCUAGUCUUGGGAAAACUUUUUCAGUUUUAUGCAUGAAAAAUUGGGAGAUCCAUGGAGUUCCCGUCGUGGCGCAGUGGUUAACUUGAAUUCGACUAGGAACCAUGAGGCUGCAGGAACUCCGAAAAGCAACCUUUAAAAAAAAAGUCUCCUAAAUCUUUAUCGGGUGCAAAGCAGCCCCAAAUAGGUACCAGCCAUUCUGCUUAGGGAAUGGUUAGGUCCCCCAAACAAGUAUUCCCUUACAGUCUUUGGCCACACAACGGCCUUGGCAAAGGAAGCAGAGGGCCUGUUCCCUGCCUGAGCAGCUGCAGACCAACAAUUUCUUUCUCAAUUUUUCUGCUGCCAUCCUUUCUAGGAACCCCAAAGCUCUGGAUGUCUACCUCCUUGGUGUGAGCAGGGAUGUCUCAACACAUCACCAUUCUAGGGAGGCCAAGUUUGAAGUUGGUUGGCCUGGAUUUGGAUACCAGCUCCAAGCCCUUGGAUGGGUUACUAACUCCUCUGUCCUCCAGUUUCCCAACCUGCCAAAUGGGAAUAACAACGCAGCAGCUAGCACCUGUGAGGAUGAAGCCAGGUGAUACACAUAGAGCACCUGCUCACACAAGCCUGGUCCAAAUAUAUGAUUGCUAUUGUCGUCCCCAUAUCCAGUCCAAUUCAAGAUCUCUCUAUUGUUUUGCACAAGUCUCCACCCCAUCCAGAUUUACUCUGCCCAGCCCCUCCUGCCUUACCUGUCUAGAGCCUGUUCUAAGCAAUGACUCACUGCAAAACUCUGCAGCUCCCAUCAAUCACCUCCCUGUCUCUGCCGCUGAGUGUCAUUCACGGGUUCCUUCUGCGAGAGAAAUCUUUCUCAUGUCCAGUACAUUCGUUCAACAAGUAUUUACUGAGGCCCCCACUAAGUGCCAGGCCCUGUUCUAGGCAUGGGGGCUUAGCAAUAAACGAAAACAGACCUGUUUUCAGGAACUAUGAAGAGAUCUAACCCAUCAAGAGAGUUCAGUUCGAGCCUCUGGCCCUUCCUUAGGUCCCCGUUCUUCUCCCAGACCAGGCCUAAAUCAACCACGCACAAGUACGAAGCGGGAAGAAGGCAAUCUAGAUCAAAGAAUGAGCCGGGCGACUUGGGCCCACCCCAACGGCCAAACUGCUGCCCCGCUGAACUGGUAGACAUUGCCAGAAACACCCAGUUUCCCCAAGUAGUCACACCGGCCACCCAUCCUCCAGAAGUGUACAUGUAACACACCUGGAAAACAAGUAACACACCUGGAAAAGAAGGCCUUCUUUUGCUUAUCUCAUGAAGGCAGGAGAAGCCCGUGUUUUCAUGUUUCAUUCUCUACAUGGAAGGUUCCCCAGCAGGAAUACAGGCAGCAGCCUUAUGUUCAGAGCACUGGAAAUGGACCCCGAAAGCCCGUGUUUGAGUGCUGGCUCUGCGGCUUACUGUGUAAUCUCAAGCACGGAGUUUUUCUUAUGCCUCAGUUUCUUUUAGACAACCUCCAAGGUCCUCUUUCGGCUUUGAGGUUGAAGGGCUGAGAUCAACCACCAUUAACAUGACACUCAGCAGAGUCAAAAAUUCCUUACUUCAACAAAAUGAACCCCUGCCCUGGGAUCUGGGGGUGAGGAUGAGGCCUGAUGAGGAGCUGUGGGCAGCAUCCUGAUAUGUACUGACUCCUUUAUUUAUUUACCUCCUGUCCAACAUCAAACUUGAGCUUUCCAAGCACAGCUCUGAUCAAAAUAUCCCUGGGCCGCAAGGCAAACCUAAAAUAGAAGGCAUGUAAAGGCUCCGGUGGGCCCACUGGUCUCCCUUCCUCCAACUCCAAAACCAUGCCAGACCUUGUCUCUAGACAGCAGGCCUAAAAUAAGUCUCCCUGGUAGAAAGUUCGGGUUGGAAUGGAAGUGGCCCAAGUACAGAAGCAAUGGCCCACUGGCCACACGCCUCAAGACAAGCACUCACCCAACAAUCAGCUCUGAGAAAAGCGAAACUCUGCUCCCACUUCAACUCACCACAUCUCCCUCCAGGGGCACAGAGACAACCAAGAGAGCCUGGAGGAAAGAAAAAUGUGACCCGAAUGGCCAACUCCCCCUACCCAAAAGAAAGCAGCCCUACCCCCACUGCCCUUAUGCAAGAAAGCUGGGUCCUGCAGGUUAGUGGAGCACUAGCGUGGCUAGAACUAUAGGUGACCAAUUAGAGGUCUUGUUGCCAGACUGGCAGGUGCUUGGCACAGGGUGACACGUGGUUUGAGGGCCAGCUGACAAAACCAUCACCAAAGCUGUAGCUUUCUAGCAAAAAUAACAUUCACUUUAAAACAACCAAGAAAGGGACAACCAUACUAAGUCUCAAAAAAUCAAAACCAGACAGGCCCACGGCUUGGACCACAGACACUAAGAAUCCGUUUUCUAAAAAAUAAUGACAAUUAGAGGUGGUUUUCCACCCCUUCGCGACCUGGCCCAGCGGGUCCUUUGAAGACUCCCUGGUGAGGGCAAAACCCGGACUAAAUAAGGCUCCAGAUCCUCUAGUUUGCAUAAAUGAACUUUGACUGUUUUUACUUACACGUGUACAAAGGCAGGACUGAAAGAUCCACUUCAAAAUUGGCUGGGUGACCCCCAAAGUUCAAAGUCCUUCUAGGUACACCUGUGGGGGAAUUUUGUGAAUUUCCCAGGCGCCCACUGGAACUAGCUAUGUCUGUCCCUUCCAAGUCUACACCGGCUGGGAGUUUCCACUUUGCACAGAAAUAAAGGCGCUCUGGGUGCCCUUAGCAGUUAGGGUGCGGGCCCACAGCUUAAGGGUGGGUGGGCCCCGAGGAUGGUCCUUCAUUGGACCGCUCCGACGGGGAAGGACCAGCAUCUCAUAGUGACCCUGUGAAAAUGCGCCCAGCCUCCGGCUACGCCUUGCCCGAACCAUCGCAGAGCUCAGCGAUACAUUAACGAUCAUUUCAGGUUAGUUAAAAUUCACGCAAGCACCGCCCUGGCCUCUUAAAUCUUCCCAAACUACAGCUCAGACUGGAAGGAAGCAGUUGCAGCAACCAUAAAAGUCAUCUUAAAAGGCAAGUUUGGGGGAAAAAAAAAAAGGGAUACGCACUAGUUAGCAAGUCGGCGGUUGGGGGGCGGUGGCACGAGGGACCGAUCUGUGGGCUCUGCAGGCCGGCAGGGGCGGUCCCGUCGAUUCCCGAGUCCCGU
ensembl:lncRNA